rnacentral:lncRNA from 1 species
GUCCACUCUUGCUCUCUUAUGUACUAGCUCAGGAAGAAGGUACUUGCUAUCUUGUAAGCUGACCUAGAAAGGCCACAACAACAGGCACAAGUUGAGGCCCUCAAUUCACCAGCUCACAAGGGAUUGAAUCCCACCAACAACUAUAAAUGCAAAAACAAAAAGAAAAUAAAACAGGCAAGAAGAUUUCAUACAAAAGCAAAACUGCACUUGAAAAUGGAAGAAUGUUAAUAUAGAACAGACUGCAUCAUUUUUUAUCUCUCAGUCAGUUAUGUUGUAAAAUUGUAAGAUGCUGUUGAAGUAAUUCAAUCAAAUAAAGUAAAAGUAAUAUUGAUGAAAACCGCUUUCAUUUUUAUGGACUCAUAAACAGUAGAGUGUAAAUGUGUAGACUUCUUUCCCAACCCUGUGGAUAGAACUGAGUGUGCUAACUUUAAAUAUCUGGAAAGGAAAUAUAAAUUGUAUGUUAUACCUGAACCGGCAAUAUAAAAUGGCCGCUGUGUUUUGAUGAUGAGAAGUCAAGCCCUUUGACAAGGCCCGAUUUUGCUCAGGGAUUGUCUUUUUUAUUCCUUUCAUUGAUGUGAGUAAUGCUUUUUUUAUUUGUUUCCUAUUGUGAUCCCACUUUAUUUUAAAAGAGUUAAGUGCCUUGUUUGUUUGCCAAAGUUCACUGUGGAAUAGGCAGAUGAAACCAAUGACUCCUCCAAGUCAAUUCUGGCCUUGGGAUUCUGUAUUAUUUGCCAAAUUUCCAUGUCUGAGAAAUGGAUAAAAGAUGAAAAUGCCACUGGGGCAGUUUUCUUAAUCACUUUCCAAAUAAGUCUUAAUGAUUAGGACUUUUAAAACACUUGAAAUAUGUUUAAAAAUAAUUAAACUGGGAUACCUUAUAAGAAAGAGUAGAGGGUAUUGGGAUGAGCGCUUUUGACUGGAGCGGUGCCCAUUGGACUCUUACGUGUGACCCCCCGGAAACAACAGCGGCUGUGCUUGAUCAUUUACUCAGCACUGGAGGCAAUAAUCAAGUUGCUCAAAUCAAUUACACCAUCGAAGAGUGAUGGCAGGGAGCAGACACUUUAUCAGCAAACCUGCGUAUUUUGUAUCAGUUUGCCUUUUUUUAUUUUUAGACAUAAAUCUUUAACAUGGAGUUUGUGUUCAGACAACAUUCUCUCUCCCUUCCAGGUGUUGACAACACAAUAGGAUUUGUGGGUUUUGGGCACCUGAGGGAAAAGUUGUAAUAUGAGUAAAAAUUGAUAUUAUUACAUUAUAAAAAGACAUAC